rnacentral:rRNA from 1 species
UGGGAUUUGGCAAUGGGCGAAAGCCUGAUCCAGCCUGCCGCGUGUGUGAAGAAGGCCCUCGGGUUGUAAAGCACUUUCAGUGGGGAAGAAAGCCUCGGGAUUAAUACUUCCGAGGAAGGACAUCACCCACAGAAGAAGCACCGGGCUAACUCCGUGCCAGCARCCCGCGGUAAUACGGAGGGUGCGAGCGUUAAUCGGAAUUACUGGGCGUAAAGCGCGCGUAGGCGGUCUGAUCAGCCGGUUGUGAAAGCCCCGGGCUCAACCUGGGAACGGCAUCCGGAACUGUCAGGCUAGAGUGCAGGAGAGGAARGUAGAAAUUCCCGGUGUAGCGGGUGAAAAUGCGUAGAGAUCGGGAGGAAUACCAGUGGCGAARGGCGGSCUUNUGGACUGACACUUGACGCUGARGUGCGAAAGCGUGGGUAGCAAACAAGGAUUAGAUACCCUGGUAGUCCACGCCGUAAACGAUGUCGACUAGCCGUUGGGGUCCUUGAGACCUUUGUGGCGCAGUUAACGCGAUAAGUCGACCGCCGGGGAGUACGGCCGCAAGGUUA